AAAGGGGCGGGGUCGGGAGCGGCCGCCGGUCCCCUCACGGUCGUCCGCCAUGUUGGCUGUGGCUCUCGCCAGUCCCGGGCCCCUCCGUGUCCCUUGGUUCCUUCCGGCAGGGGCGACAGGAGAAGGAUGAUCUUGGUGGAGGGAGCCCAGCUUGGUGUGGUCCUCAUUUCUGCUGUUGUGUGAAGAGAGAUGGAGAGAAAUACAUCCAGAGGCCCAGAGCUGGGCAUGGAACAAAGGCAGCAUGUCCAAAGUAAUCCCAUCUGCAGGAGCCUACAAGAAGCCAUUCCUUCUCCUGGAGCCUAAAAAGGAGGACAAUUUCCUUCACCAGGUUUAACAGCAAGAUGUGGGGUCACUGUGGAGAUAUCCACAGACAGAUCCAUCAGGGCUGAAGGCAGGAGAACUACAAUUAAUAUUAGAUUGCAAAACACAA